CUGUAUAGCGUGUACCUAGUACCUACACGCGCAUUUCAACAAUUGAAUUAAAGAAGUUUUAAAAGUAUAUAGAUUGAAAUAUUUUGUUAUCAUAAUGUUAUGUACAUAAUAUGUUAUUAAUUCUAAGGUUUAUGUGAUAAAAUUCCACUAAAGUAUUCAAUACUCUCUAUGGCGUGUCAAUGUGUUGUGAAUUGUGACUUUGUGAAAAACUAACUAACUAUAACCUAGUUGUGACUUUUUUACAUCGUCUGUAGAUACCCUCAAAACUAUGUAGCGGACAGUUUUGUAUUAUUGAGGCGGGGCGGGCGCGUGCGUGUGUCGCGGCGCGGGCGCGGCGUGUGGAAUGAAUUUUGAGUUUGGAGACUGCGGCGAGCUUAUUGCUAAAGGCUUUUUCUGCCAUUCAUCGGGAGAUACAAGGU